GUCAGGGUGGUCUAGCGGCUUGCAUAUUAGACUACAACUCUGGAGAUCAGGGUUCGAUUUCCCACUCAGGCA